rnacentral:rRNA from 1 species
CCUGACUGCUAUCGGGAUUGAUAUUAAGCCAUGCGAGUCUUUGUAGUAAUACAAGGCAGACGGCUCAGUAACACGUAGUCAAUCUACCCUAUGGACGGGGAUAACCUCGGGAAAUUGAGAAUAAUACCCGACAGAUCAUAAUGCCUGGAAUGGUUUAUGGUUUAAAUGAUUUUUCGCCAUAGGGUGGGACUGCGGUCUAUCAGCUUGUUGGUGAGGUAAUGGCCCACCAAGGCUAUUACAGAUACGGGCUCUGAGAGGAGAAGCCCGGAGAUGGGUACUGAGACACGGACCCAGGUCCUAUGGGGCGCAGCAGGCGAGAAAACUUUGCAAUGUGCGAAAGCACGACAAGGUUAAUCCGAGUGUUUUCUGCUAAAGAAAUCUUUUGUUAAGUUCUAAAACCACUAUCGAAUAAGGGGUGGGCAAGUUCUGGUGUCAGCCGCCGCGGUAAAACCAGCACCUCAAGUGGUCAGGAUGAUUAUUGGGCCUAAAGCAUCCGUAGCCGGCUAUGUUAGUUUUCGGUUAAAUCCAUGUGCUCAACACAUGGGCUGUCGAAAAUACUGCAUAGCUAGGGAGUGGGAGAGGUAGACGGUACUCUGUAGGAAGGGGUAAAAUCCUUUGAUCUAUAGAUGACCACCAGUGGCGAAGGCGGUCUACCAGAACAUGUCCGACGGUGAGGGAUGAAAGCUGGGGGAGCAAACCGGAUUAGAUACCCGGGUAGUCCCAGCUGUAAACUAUGCAAACUCAGUGAUGCAUUGGCUUGUGGCCAGCGCAGUGCCGCAGAGAAGUCGUUAAGUUUGCCGCCUGGGAAGUACGUACGCAAGUAUGAAACUUAAAGGAAUUGGCGGGGGAGCACCACAAGGGGUGAAGCCUGCGGUUC